CUUUCCUGCCACGAAAACUCCUCCUGACAUGAAAACUCACAAGCUGCUGGCUCUCCCCCCAUCCUUAGCUCUGAGGGAAGACAGCUGCCAUGGCAUUGGACACUCAAGAAGCCCUGUGGAGAGGUUGAUGUGAUAAAGAGCUGAGACAUCCCACCAGCAGGCAGUACCGAUUUGCCAGAUAUGUAGGGGAGCCACGUUGGAGACCCUCCGCUCCAACCAAGACUCCAGAUGACAAUAGAGCUUUGGUUGACAUAUUGACUGCAACCUCAUGAAAGAUCUGAGCCAGAACUGCCCAGCUAAGCUGCCCUUGGAUUCCUCCUCCACAGCAACUGGCUCAGAAUUCUGACCGGCCAGUUCUCCUAUCACGGCAGCCCACCAAUGAGCACCUGCCACAUGGCCCUCCUCUUCCUUCACCCUCUCCAGGAAAGCUCCCUCUUCAGAGAAAUGUGGUCAAAUCCAAACUCAACUU